UACGUAGGUGGCAAGCGUUGUCCGGAUUUACUGGGCGUAAAGAGCGCGCAGGCGGUCGAUCAAGUCGAGUGUGAAAGCCCCCCGGCUCAACUGGGGAGGGUCAUUCGAUACUGAUCGACUCGAAGGCAGGAGAGGGUAGUGGAAUUCCCGGUGUAGUGGUGAAAUGCGUAGAUAUCGGGAGGAACACCAGUGGCGAAGGCGACUACCUGGCCUGUUCUUGACGCUGAGGCGCGAAAGCUAGGGGAGCAAACGGGG
rnacentral:rRNA from 1 species